rnacentral:rRNA from 1 species
UAGGGAAUCUUCGGCAAUGGACGAAAGUCUGACCGAGCAACGCCGCGUGAGUGAAGAAGGUUUUCGGAUCGUAAAACUCUGUUGUUAGAGAAGAACAAGGACGUUAGUAACUGAACGUCCCCUGACGGUAUCUAACCAGAAAGCCACGGCUAACUACGUGCCCGCAGCCGCGGUAAUACGUAGGUGGCAAGCGUUGUCCGGAUUUAUUGGGCGUAAAGCGAGCGCAGGCGGUUUCUUAAGUCUGAUGUGAAAGCCCCCGGCUCAACCGGGGAGGGUCAGUGGAAACUGGGAGACUUGAGUGCAGAAGAGGAGAGUGGAAUUCCAUGUGUAGCGGUGAAAUGCGUAAAUAUAUGGAGGAACACCAGUGGCGAAGGCGGCUCUCUGGUCUGUAACUGACGCUGAGGCUCGAAAGCGUGGGGAGCAAACAGG